AGCCGACGACUCUACAGACUAAACGGAAGUAUCUUACUGAGCCCCAACUGAUUCAAACAGUGGAAAUUCAUAGCAGUUUAAAUGUGUCCAAUAAGUUUGCAUUUAUGCGUAAUAACGCACCUGUGGGGAAAGGAGGCUGCGUGACGUCAGAAGUGUCAAAUUCCAGGGAUGUUUUUGGGACAAAAGAAGCCUGUCUGAACGAGGACAGUUCGGUAUCUCCAGUCUGCAGGAGGACGUCUGCACGCUCCCCGAGGUCACCAAAGGUCACCCGAGCGACUCCCAGCAACAGGUCGACCCCCGGAGCUGCAGAAUGUCCAACAAGCCCCCGAUCCGACCAGACGAAAGCCUGCUGCUGAUGCAGGAGCUGGACGACCGACUGAAGGAGCACGUGGACAAGCUGGAGCACAUCCGCCUGGCUGCCAUCCAACUCAAAGAGAGUCUCUCCGGGAGCCACUGUGAUCUCCCUCAGUCCAUCAGCAGUCACCUGGAGUGGCUGGAUCACAUCACGGGCCGCACCGAGACGCUUCACCUGAGCACCACGGCCUUCGUUCAGAUGAAUCCCAAGCCUCGUGCUUGGACCGGCAGGCAAGGCUCCCGCCACCACAUGGGGCGGCGUCAUCUGCUCGACGACGCUCAGUCGGAGUUGGGCUGGUCGCCGGUUCGCACGCGCCGGAACAGCAACGCUGCCUCGGAGAUGUCCUGCAACUGGUGACUUGAGUCAUGCAAAUCAUUUCAGAUUCCAAGCGUUACCUCACUUGUUGGUGUGCGAUCCAUAUUAUAGUAGUUGGAUGAUCCAGUUACAUUUACAUGUGUUUUAAACGUCCUUUUUGUACGACUUUUAAUAAUCAUUUCCUCCUUGACUGAGAUGAAUUAUCGACCUUUCUGUUAAUUGAAUUUGAAGACCGAAUUGUCCGCAUUCGUCGGCGUUGAAAUGUAUGAAACGUAGGAGGUUAUCGCACAUGACACUGACGCUUCGACGGCGUUUGUGGUACAUGAUGAAAGGCGAUUCGCGUGUGUCGCAUGACGCACUUCCAUAUUUAGGUCAGACAAUGUUCCAGCAGGGGUCGCUGUUGACCUGCGAGUCGGUCGUCACUCGGUUGCAAAUAAAGUUUUGAAAUGAUGAAAUGUUUUUAGUGAUUCGGUUGUUUUGGUAUGUUUUUUUUUUUUAAAUAAUAAACAAUGUAUUAAGAAAUGUAUUUUUUUUUUUUAAAUCGGCACAUAUGUUACGUCAAGUUGAAGUGACUCAACGUGUUUAGAGACUUGAUGCUAAAUUCAACAAUUCAUAAAAAUCACAGAACAGGUGAACUUGACCAUUGCAAACCUGGAUCCCUGAUGUUUUUUAAAGCUAAUGCGUGAUUAUAAAAGUCUAUAAAGCGGAUCUGACGGAUGGAAACGGCACCUUUAAAUGAAGCAAAGAGCCGACUGUCGAGACCGACUCGUUCACUGGGCGCACACGGAGCUGGACACGCGUGCGUGAUCGUUCUAGAAGGAAGGCUCGGCUCGACUCGUCCGACUAGCGCAGUUUCCCUCCCGAGGAUCGCUGACGUCCGCGUUCACUUCACCAGACACAUUUGGAUUUUUCAGAGCGAAACUAUGGCGGAGAGCGACUGGGACACCGUGACUGUUCUGAGGAAGAAGGGGCCGACUGCCGCUCAGGCCAAGUCCAAGCAGGCGAUCACCUUGGCUCAGAGACGCGGAGAGGAACUUGAGACCUCCAAAAAAUGGUCAGCUGGACAGAACAAGCAGCAUUUGGUGUCAAAGAACACGGCAAAACUGGACCGAGAGACGGAGGAGCUGCAUCACGAGAGGGUUCCUCUGGAGGUGGGCAAAGUGAUUCAGCAGGGGCGGCAGGAGAAAGGCUUCACCCAGAAAGAUCUGGCAACU